UAGAGAGGCAGUAGGCCUUGCUGAGCUGCAGUGGGCUCCACCCAGUUCAAGCUUCCCAGGCUCUUUGUUUACGCUGUGAGCACCAAACCGCCUAUUCAAGCCUCAGCAAUGGCAGACACCCCCUCCCCACGCCAAGCUGCAGUGUCGCAGGUUGAUCACAGACUGCUGCGCUAACAGUGAACAAGGCUCCGUGGGAGUGGGACCUGGCGAGCCAGGCAUGGAAGGGAAUUUCCUGGUCUGCCAGUUGUGAAGACCAUGGGAAAAGCACAGUAUUUGAGCAGGAGUGUACCAAUUCUCCAGGAGGUCACAAAAUGUUAUACAGUAAAGUAAUUGGAGCACCACCUGGUGGGCAUUCUGGCUACAUUCCUGACUUGAAGGGAACAAAAUGUGGUUUUUUGAGACCAAGGAGGAAUAUGACUAGGAAGACAUGUCUCCUCCCUUCCGCUGGAGACUGAAGUAACAACUACGUAACUCAUAGAACCUUCCAACCACCUAAUACUUUAGGAAUGUGCUUGGAGCUCUUCUAAAUCCAUCUCACUUGAACUGCAAAGCCAGAAACAACAGCCAUUAUUCCUCUGAAGCCUGCAAAAUGCUGAGUAGAUUAAAAGGAUUAUGUUUCUGUUCUCAUAUGCUCAAUGCCCAUAGCUCAACAACCUUACUUUUACAAGAACCCAGCAACAAUGAUUUCAUUUUGAAUGAAUCCACGAUCUUCUCUGCAACAUAGUUAAAUGUAACCAGGCCAGGACGGUGGCUCACCCUUGUAAUCCCAGCACUUUGGGAGGCCAAGGCGGGAGGGUCAUUUGAGGCCAGGUUUUCGAGACCAGCAUGUGCCACCAUGCCUAGCUAAUUUUAAAAUUUUUUUGUAGAGAUGGGGUGUCGCAAUGUUGCCCAGGCUGGUCUUUAACUCCUGGCCUCAAGUGAUCCUCCCGCCUCCGCCUCCCAAAGUGCUGGAAUUACAAGUGUGAGCCACCGUGCAUGUCAACCAUUCUUAUUUAUUCUGCUUUUUAUUUUCCUGGCUUCUCUUCAGCACUCUCAACCAUUCUUUAUAGCAAUGCUCCCCAAAUUUUUUCAUGUGGUAUUGCUCGUAGAAAGUGAUAAUAUUAGUACAGUGCUGGACUAAAUGGAUGAGGUUGCUCAAAGGUUUUAUGCAGCCUCUCAAAGAGAUGCCACUGGGAUUGAGCUCACUUGCCCAAGACAGUAACCCGCUUCUCAAUGUAUCCUUUAAUGGUGUUCCUCUUUUGCCAGUCUUACUUGCCCACUCCCUGAUCAUGCCUCCUGGGAUCACCUCCCAAGUAAACUACUUUCACCCAAAUUCUUGUCCCAUCACAGUAGAUAAUGAAUACCAAAAAAAUGGCAAAAUGACAAUAAAACUAAUAUCCAAGCAAAGUGGACCUUUGUGCAUCAAGCUUUGCUCUAAAACAUGUAUCAACCUAUUAGGUAAAGCAAUGCAUUGAUUAAUUAAUGAAGGUAAUUACUUAAAUUCUGUGCUUCACUUUGCAUGUGGAGGCACUGCAUGCAUUUUAAGAACAUUUUUAGACUUAUAUCAAGACAUUUGUCUUUCAUACCUAAAGAACUAAGCUACAAAAGGUUUAAUGACUUCCCACGUCACAUCUUUAACAGUAAAAGUCAAAAUAGUUAAAAUUCAUUGAGCAUUCACUAUAUGCUGGAUUCUGUGUGAAGUACUUUUCAUCAUUCCACUAAUCAU
rnacentral:lncRNA from 1 species